AGAAUAGCCUGCCAUUCUUCCUCCUAUUUCUGAACAGAGCCAGGGGCAGCCAUGGCCACUACUCCACCUCUAAAGCUCCUCCUGCUUCGAUAAAAGUACGCAGGAAAUCCAGUAGGGGAACUGGUCAGGGAUUUGGAUGUUAAAGAAGAAUCGUAGUAUUGGGUUUUGUAGAGAAGAUGGGAUGAAGCUUUU